rnacentral:rRNA from 1 species
AUACGGAGGGUGCAAGCGUUAUUCGGAAUCACGGGGCGUAAAGGACGCGUAGGCGGGUUGGCAAGUCAGAUGUGAAAUCCUACAGCUUAACUGUAGAACUGCAUUUGAAACUGCUAACCUAGAGUAUGGGAGGGGGAGAUGGAAUUAGUGGUGUAGGGGUAAAAUCCGUAGAUAUCACUAGGAAUACCGAAAGCGAAGGCGAUCUCCUGGAACAUAACUGACGCUAAGGCGUGAAAGCGUGGGGAGCAAACAGGAUUAGAAACCCUAGUAGUCC